rnacentral:lncRNA from 1 species
AGAAAAUACUGUACAAAAACCUUGUCAGCUCCCCCAACCUUUAUACAACAAAGACUGGAGUCACUAUCUACAAAACCAUAACGUCUUUCCACUUAGGGCUUGUCUGUAAACUUUGUUUCCUUAAACACUUUUUAAAAGCACUGUGUAGUAGUUCUGAUCUAGAGAUUUUACAAAAUAAAUCUUUUCUCUAUAAGCUCCAUAUUUCCAAGCUUGAUCUCUUCUGUGAAGUGCAUCAGGCUUUUUUUCCCCCUGUGGGGAAGACAAGGGCCGCUAACAUUCCCCUUUUCCAGAGUAAUCACAGGGUAUAAACGCUUCUUCAGAGAGCAAGGUGGGGAGGGAGAGAAAUAAUACACGUUUCUACUCCAGACGAAAUCCCUCCAAGUCGUAGGAAAUCCUGUGAGGAAACGCCACUCCUGGCCCCGGUGCGGUGCUAGCUUUCAUGUGAAGGGUGUGUGUAAAGUCCCUUCCUCCCCCGAGAACGAACGGGGAACUCCCCGGGGCCCGGCCUUUUGAGCCGCUUCCUUCUCCGCGCUGCGGGCAGAGGAAAGUCCCUGUCUGCCCCCAGUCCCCUACGCCCCGGGGAAGGCGUGUGGCAUUCGGGGGGGACAAAAUAGUCUCAACUCAACAAGACAAAGUGACAUACACAGACACAAAAGUCCACGAUCGUCCUCUUCCAAUAAGCCCCGUACUCCCGAGUCUCAAAAGCAGACCCGGGAGGCACGGCCCAGCCGGCCGCCAAGCUCAAGGGCAGUCUGUGCCGCCCGGCGGCACCCGAUCUCCCCCUCGCGCUCGGCGCCGACCGUCUCGGGGGCGUCCUCGCAGCCGGGAGGGGCCCAGCCCUCUCGUCUGGACGCCCGCUGCUCAACCUCCUUCCCGGACGGAGACCCCGGGGGCUCAGAAGGCUACGAUGGCAGUGCUCCAAGGGUUAAUGUCUCUCAGCACCGGCUUAUCGCAGCAGAUCUGCCCGGGCUCGGCGGUUUCCGGACCGCUCUCCUCUCCCUCCGCUUCCUCCCGGCCGCCCCCGGGGCUUUUCCGUAAGAGUCCUGAGAAGCUGGAACCGAAGAUGCUAAUGAGGUUGGCCACGUUACCGGUCUCCAUCUCCUCCGCCUCCUCUUCCUCCUCCGCGGCCGCCCCGCCCGCCUGUUCCUCUAAGUUCCGGCGGGGUUUCUUGAGCGGGGUCGAGCCGGGCUCCGCGUCAUCCGCCCGUGGCACUUCUGGGACGGCAGGGCGCUCCGGCUGCGGCUCAGGCUCUGGCCAGGCGGCUCGGGCAGCCGGCGGGGGCGGCUCCCCCCAGCCCGCGGGUGGCCCGGCUGCCGGCUCCCCGGGCUGCUGCGGCGGCGCCGGGACCCCGGGGUGGCCGGUCAGGUAGAGGCCGGGGCACGGGUCGCUCAGGUAGACCUGGCGGGCACUGCGGAGCACCAGCGAGACCAGCAGGUUCUUGUGCAGCUUGAUGCCGCCGCGCUGGACCCGCGAGUUGUAGAUCUUGCCCAGGGAGAUGCUGACGAUGCG